GCCUACGGGUGGCAGCAGUGGGGAAUAUUGCACAAUGGGCGCAAGCCUGAUGCAGCCAUGCCGCGUGUAUGAAGAAGGCCUUCGGGUUGUAAAGUACUUUCAGCGGGGAGGAAGGUGUUGCGGUUAAUAACCGCAGCAAUUGACGUUACUCGCAGAAGAAGCACCGGCUAACUCCGUGCCAGCAGCCGCGGUAAUACGGAGGGUGCAAGCGUUAAUCGGAAUUACUGGGCGUAAAGCGCACGCAGGCGGUCUGUUAAGUCAGAUGUGAAAUCCCCGGGCUCAACCUGGGAACUGCAUUUGAAACUGGCAGGCUUGAGUCUUGUAGAGGGGGGUAGAAUUCCAGGUGUAGCGGUGAAAUGCGUAGAGAUCUGGAGGAAUACCGGUGGCGAAGGCGGCCCCCUGGACAAAGACUGACGCUCAGGUGCGAAAGCGUGGGGAGCAAACAGGAUUAGAUACCCCAGUAGUCC
rnacentral:rRNA from 1 species